CAGCUUGUUUUGUAGAGGGUAUAAAAAUCCCUGUUUUGGGGGGCUCAGGGCUCUCUCAUGCAUCACCCCUUGUGUGAUGGGAAUGGUUAGCCUUUAUUGCAAUAAAUUAUAAUGUCUUGGACUCGAUAUACCCGUGUCAAGUGGUUAUUGUCUUCGCCUGGAAGGACCAUAAGUCAUUCUUAUGAGAGUUUAUGGCAUCCCUGGGUGGGCUCCCAGGUCGUGCUGGGGAUCCUUUUUCUCUGUCUCUUGUCCUGUGAUCACGAGCUCACCACCCAGUUUUGGCGGGAUGCUGGACCGAGAGGAGACUGGUGGCUCCCCGGGCGAUAAAGGAGCCUGCAGAAGAAAUGGGUAGGUCGACUUCAACGCAAAAUGCCAGUGCUGGAAUAGGACACAGAUAUGCUACUGGCAUGCCAUUUUCCUGCAUUGCUGCAAUAACAGUGAAGAUGCCUGCUUCAUUCUUCCCCAACUACAGAAAGUGACAAGUCUACUUUGGCCAUCAUCCUGUAGUGGACACCAAUAUUUUUUCUGGCAAGAUGUUCUAUAUUGUGCAAGCUUGCAACCUUUGUCAUAGUCACUUGGGGGGAGGGAGUUGAUUAUUAUUUUCAUUAUUCAAGUUUCUGGUGAGCAUCAGCAAAUCAUAGACAGUUCAACUAAGUCUCCUGAGGAUGAAGUAUGUACAAGCCACCCUGCAGUAUGUUUGAAGAUCACAAAUAUUGUUUUCUUUUUCAUUGUAAUAUUGACUGUAAUUGAAUACUCAUGCAUUGUAUUUUAAGGAUGUGAUUAUUUAACUAUUGCUAUUUUUCCUUAUAUAAUUUGUGUUAAGAAUGUCUUGUUUAUAGGAUGUUUUUAUUUUUCAAAUCCCUCUGAGUGAUUUCAUAACAAGGGGUUUACAAAAUUUGGCGAUUUGUUUUAAGAUAUGAGAUUUGCCAGUGUAGAAUCUUGGACCUUUAUAGCCUAACAGCCUUUGAUCUUUAUUUUUUAUUUUGAACAACUGCAUAGUUAUUUUCUCGCCUAUUUUAUUUACUUUCUCACCCUGUUAUAGAAAGAGUUAAAAGUAGUGAAAUAUCUAGGAAAGCAAACUACACUUCAGAUACAAAGAUGGUAGCAGAGGGUGGUUAGAUUCCCUGUCUGGCUGGGGAAAGAAUGCCAAAGGAGAUUUAACCUUUAUAAUGCACCCCAUUGUGGUGAUUUUGAUGUUUCAAAUAAUUCUGGUCUUUGUCUUUUUUUUUUUUUUUUUUU